rnacentral:lncRNA from 1 species
ACACGCUUCCCCACUGAGGGAAGACCAUGUGACUAUACAACAGGAAGGUAGUUGUUUACAAGCCAGGAAGAGAGCCCUCACCAGAAACCAAAUUGGCUGGCGCCUUGAUCAUGGACUCCUGGGCUCCGGAACUGUAAGAAAAUUUGUGUUGUGGAAGCCACCCAGCCCAUGGUAUUUCGUUAUGGCAGCCUGAGCAGAGGUGGUAGCUAUGUGGACAGUUUUUGGACUUCUCUAUUGUAACACAGGAGGCAACACAGAUUCUUCAAGUCUCACAGCUACUCCCUAGGGAUCACUGGGGAACUUGGAAAAAAUCUAUUGGCUCAGCUAGUGAGCGAUCACUUCCUGUACCACUGUUCUGAGGGCGGACUUCCAGCUCAGGAUCAUGCGAGGGCAUUUUGUUGCCCUUCAUCACUCAGCAGUGAAGAAUGAAAAUCAACAGAGCUUUCCCCAGCCUGCUGCUUAAGCAGCUGCUAGCAGGCUGAGGCUGCCCAGCCUCAUUAACCCAUUAGAUGCUGCGUUCGCCCGGGAGUCAUUCUUAAUGAGGCUGCUGCAGAGACGGCGUUUCACCAUGUUGCCCAGACUGGUCUCGAACUCCUGGCUUCAAGUGAUCCUCCUGCCUCAACCUCCCAAAGUGCUGGUAUUACAGAUGAGAAAACAGAAGCAAAGGCAGAAAGAUGCUACAUUGCCAGCUUUGAAGAUGGAGGGAAGAGGUCACAAACCAAGGAAGGCAAUGAGGACGUUGCACAAGACAGUCCCUGAUACCCAGAGUUUACUGCCUAAGAGAGGAUACAUCCUUCAAACCAAUAAUCUGCUAAUAGCAAGAUCCAAUAGCUUCAUGGAUAUUGAAAGAAACUGAGAAUCAAAUUUGCAUACUUCUGAGUCACUUGGAAACAAAAAACAAGUACAGUCUUAGAUUCUGAGGGAACAAAAAUUAAAAAUCACAUUAGGAAGAGAAUUCCUAAUGUAGGAACUCAUCCUGGAAGAUUCUUCAGCAAAAGUACAGACAAUAAUAAUAAUACUCCAUGAAGUUACCAUCGAUAUUGAAUGAAUUAAUGAAUGUAAAAACCUCAAAACCCUGCCUGGCCCAGAGCUUUGGAAUGGGUUUGGAUCUACCACUCAACUGCUUUAUGACUUCAGACCAGUUAUUUAAAUUCCCUGAAGCUCAGUUUCCACAUCUUUGAGUUUUUAUUAAUGACCUGCCGACAUCAUACAGUUCAUGAAAUGCUCUGGAUGUGUACAUGCUGAUGAUACGACCUCAGACCCAGCAAGAGCUCAGUGCAGCCCGGAGAGCUGUGAGCAGUGCCACAGGAGGAGAUGACUGGUGAGUGAAAUAAGCAAGAUAGGAGUUGAAGUGUACAUGAAGCAGAGUCCAAGCCUUCUCCUUCUGGAUGUUCAGCUGGAUCAUCCUGACUGCUCCCACUUUCAUCUUGGCUUUCAAAGGCAAGAGGAAAUUAUAAGGAAUAUUCUGAGUGGCUUUCAUCCAGGAGUUCUGUGGGACCCGCAACACCUGGAUGGUAGAUGCAAACAGAUAAAGAAUAUUGGUCACCAAAAGGAGUUCUUUUCAUCAUAGAUCUCUGAAGGUAGACACCUAUUUGCAGACUUCUCAAAGGGCUAUAUGGAUGUGCUCUACUUGUUGGAGGAUUGUCCAUCCACUCUUCUUCCUGUACUUACCAGGACAGAACAGCCGCAACUUCUCAGACAGUUCAUUCUUCUUUUCCUCACCUACUACCAUCUAAGAAAGGUACUUGAUGACUGUGGCUUUAGACAAGAGUCCUUUUCUUACCACAGGGUGGGCAGCACCAGCUCAUUAGAACCAUUUGUGUGACUGACUGAAGACAGCUCACCUUGGAACACUGCAGAAUAUGGCGUAAGUGACAUUUUACAAGUUCCAGAGCCUGGGACUCAAGAUGUCUUGGAGAUUCUGUCUUUGCAGUCUUAUAAUGAUGCCCUGAGAUCAUCAUUAAAGAAAGCCAGUCUGGCCUACUGAGGAUGAGAAGCUACAUAAAGGAGAAUGAAGAUUCCCCAGCCAACAGGCAAUAUCAGUGGUCAGAUAUGUGAAUAAAGCCAUGUUGAACCUCUCGGCUAGACGACCCUCCAGCAUAUGAAACCAGCAGAUGAAUAUCCCAGCCUGCCUGAAGAACUGUACAGGAAAUAAGAAAUCAUUGUUUUUUAAGCCACUGGGUUGGUGGGUGGUUUGUUACAUUGAAAUUGUUAACUAAAACAGAAAUUGGUGCAUAGAGGUCAGGUGCUGUCAUAAUAAAAAUCUAAAACAUAUACUGUUGGCUUUGGUGAUGGGAGUGAUUGGUAGCUAAAGAGGCAGUGAAACAAUGAUUAGUAGAUACUGGGAAGUUAAUAAGGAAAUUUCUAUUGGAGGGUGGAGAAAGGGCCACCCUUGUUAUAUAGUGGCCAAAGAAUCAGCAAAAUGUUGCCUGCUGCAACCUGGAAAGUAGAAACUUUUCUUAAACUCACGGAUCUGGCUGGGAGAUUUCCAGGAUGCAUGCAACAAAUGUGAAUCAACUUUGUAUAGCUGUGUAUAAUAAAGUGUGCUGUAUUUGUCCAUUCUGAUGCUGCUAAUAAAGACAUACCUGAGACUGAA